rnacentral:rRNA from 1 species
UACAUAGGGGGCGAGCGUUGUUCGGAAUUACUGGGCGUAAAGGGCGCGUAGGCGGCCCGCUAAGUCGAACGUGAAAUCCCCAGGCUCAACCUGGGAACUGCGUCCGAUACUGGCAGGCUUGAAUCCGGGAGAGGGAUGUGGAAUUCCAGGUGUAGCGGUGAAAUGCGUAGAUAUCGGGAAGAAUACCGGUGGCGAAGGCGUUCCGCUGGGCCGUUGCUGACGCUGAGGCGCGACAGCGUGGGGAGCAAACAGG